rnacentral:lncRNA from 1 species
UUUUUGACUCAUGUUUUGGCAGAUCUUUUGUGUCCAUUCGAAUCCUCAAUCUCUAAUGUGAACUCUCAUACUUUUUCCAAUCAAAUUGGACACUCCUAGCCUUUUAUGUGGCCAACCCUAGCUCAGGCUACAGACAAGUGUUGUUGAAUCAGUUUAGUUUUCUUGAUUCAUGUUUUGGCAGAUAUUUUGUGUCCAUUCGAAUCCUCAAUCUUUAAUGUGAACUCUCAUACUUUUUCCAAUCAAAUUGGACACUCCUAUUCUUGUAUGUGGCCAACCCUAGCUCACGCUACAGACAAGUGUUGUUGAAUCAGUAUAGUUUUCUUGAUUCAUGUUUUGGCAGAUAUUUUGUGUCCAUUCGAAUCCUCAGUCUCUAACGUGAAGUGUCAUACUUUUUCCACUCAAAUUGGAAACUCCUAGCCUUUGAUGUGGCCAACCCUAGCUCACGGUACAGACGGGUAUGGUUAAAUCAGUUCAAUUUUUUUGACUCAUGUUUUGGCAGAUCUUUUGUGUCCAUUCGAAUCCUCAAUCUCUAAUGUGAACUCUCAUACUUUUUUCAAUCAAAUUGGAUACUCCUAGCCUUUUAUGUGGCCAACCCUAGCUCACGCUACAGACAAGUGUUGUUGAAUCAGUUUAGUUUUCUUGAUUCAUGUUUUGGCCGACAUUUUGUGUCCAUUCGAAUCCUCAAUCUCUAAUGUGAAGUCUCAUACUUUUUCCACUCUAAUUGGAAACUCUUAGCCUGUGAUGUGGCAAACCCCAGCUCAUGGUAAAGACGGGUAUUGUUGAAUCUGGUCAAUUUUUUGGAUUCAUGUUUUGGCAGAUCUUUUGUGUCCAUUUGAAUCCUCUAUCUCUAAUGUGAAGUCUCAUAGUUUUUCCAAUCAAAUUGGACACUCCUAGCCUUUUAUGUUGCCAACCCUAGCUCACGGUACGGACGGGUUUUGUUGAAUCAGUUCAAUUUUUUUGAUUCAUGUUUUGGCAGAUACUUUGUGUCCAUUCGACUCCUCAAUCUCUAAGGUGAACUGUCAUAAUUUUAUCAAAGAAAUUGGAUACUCCUAGCCUUUUAUUUAGCACACUUUAGGUCACGGUACAGACGGGUAUUGUUGAAUCAGUUCAAUUUUUUUGACUCAUGUUUUGGCAGAUCUUUUGUAUCCAUUCGAAUCCUCAAUCUCUAACGUGAACUCUCAUACUUUUUCCAAUCAAAUUGGACACUCCUAGCUUUUGAUGUUGCCAACCCUAGCUUACGCUACAGACGGGUAUUGUUGAAUCAGUUUAGUUUUCUUGACUCAUGUUUUGGCAGAUACUUUGUGUCCAUUCGAAUCCUCAAUCUCUAAUGUGAACUCUCAUAGUUUUUCCAAUCAAAUUGGAAACUCCUAGCAUUUUAUGUAGACAACCCUAGCUCACGGUACAGACGGGUAUUGUUGAGUCUGUUCAAUGUUUUUUUACUCAUGUUGUGGCAGAUCCUUUGUGUUCAUUUGAAUCCUCACUCUUUAAUGUGAACUCUCAUACCCUUUCCACUCAAAUUAGACACUCCUAGCCUUUUAUGUUGCCAACCCUAGCUCACGGUACAGACGGGAAUUGUUGAAUCAGUUCCAUUUUUUUGACUCAUGUUUUGGUAGAUCUUUUGUGUCCAUUGGAAUCCUUAAUCUCUAAUGUGAACUCUCAUACUUUUUCCAACAAAAUUGGACACUUCUAGCCAUUUAUGUGGCCAACCCUAGCUCACGCUACAGACAAGUGUUGUUGAAUCAGUUUAGUUUUCCUGACUCAUGUUUUGGCAGAUAUUUUGUGUCCAUUCGAAUCCUCAAUAUCUAAUGUGAUGCCUCAUACUUUUUCCACUCAAAUUGGAAACUUCUAGCCUUUGAUGUGGCCAACCCUAGCUCACGGUACAGACGGAUAUUGUUGAAUCUGUUCAAUUUUUUUGACUCAUGUUUUGGCAGAUCUUUUGUGUCCAUUCGAAUCCUCAAUCUCUAAUGUGAGCUCUCAUACUUUUUCCAAUCAAAUUGGACACUCCUAGCCUUUUGUGUGGCCAACCCUAGCUCACGGUACA